AGAGUUUGAUCAUGGCUCAGAUUGAACGCUGGCGGCAUGCUUUACACAUGCAAGUCGAACGGCAGCACGGGUGCUUGCACCUGGUGGCGAGUGGCGGACGGGUGAGUAAUACAUCGGAACGUGUCCUGAAGUGGGGGAUAACGCAUCGAAAGAUGUGCUAAUACCGCAUAUACUCUGAGGAGUAAAGUAGGGGAUCGAAAGACCUUAUGCUUUUGGAGCGGCCGAUGUCUGAUUAGCUAGUUGGUGGGGUAAUUGCCUACCAAGGCGACGAUCAGUAGUUGGUCUGAGAGGACGGCCAGCCACACUGGGACUGAGACACGGCCCAGACUCCUACGGGAGGCAGCAGUGGGGAAUUUUGGACAAUGGGCGCAAGCCUGAUCCAGCAAUGCCGCGUGAGUGAAGAAGGCCUUCGGGUUGUAAAGCUCUUUCAGUUGAGAAGAAAAGAUUGUAACUAAUAAUUACAGUUCAUGACGGUAUCAACAGAAGUAGCACCGGCUAACUACGUGCCAGCAGCCGCGGUAAUACGUAGGGUGCGAGCGUUAAUCGGAAUUACUGGGCGUAAAGGGUGCGCAGGCGGUUCUGUAAGUCAGAUGUGAAAUCCCCGGGCUUAACCUGGGAACUGCGUUUGAAACUACAGAGCUAGAGUGUGGCAGAGGGGGGUGGAAUUCCAUGUGUAGCAGUGAAAUGCGUAGAGAUAUGGAAGAACAUCGAUGGCGAAGGCAGCCCCCUGGGUUAACACUGACGCUCAUGCACGAAAGCGUGGGGAGCAAACAGGAUUAGAUACCCCGGUAGUCCAA
rnacentral:rRNA from 1 species